GUGCCAGCCGCCGCGGUAAUACGUAGGUGGCAAGCGUUGUCCGGAUUCACUGGGCGUAAAGCGCGCGCAGGCGGCUUGUUAAGUCUGCUGUAAAAUCUCCCGGCUCAACCGGGAGGGGCCAGCAGAUACUGGCAGGCUUGAGGCAAGCAGAGGAAGGUGGAAUUCCCGGUGUAGUGGUGAAAUGCGUAGAUAUCGGGAGGAACACCAGUGGCGAAGGCGGCCUUCUGGGCUUGUCCUGACGCUGAGGCGCGAAAGCGUGGGGAGCGAACCGGAUUAGAAACCCUAGUAGUCC
rnacentral:rRNA from 1 species